rnacentral:lncRNA from 9 species
AUUCCAUAAAAUGUGCCCCUCCCCUGUGCCAUGGAGUGUGGGCAGGAGCUUAGACAAGGUCAUGGCAGUAUUGGCUAAACUUUUGCCAAAAGUAAUGACUAGUGCAAACCUAUUGCUAUUGCUAUCCCACUUGAGCAGGUAUUCUCCUAAGGUAACCCUUGACCCGUGGUUUGUUCAUGAAGUGAUGGCCGUGAGAGCUACAGGGAGAGUGGGUCCUCCAUGUGGUGGCACCUGACAGGCCCGGUGGGUGGGCGUCUGGGUUGGGUGGUCCCGCUGGGCUGUGGGAACUGGGGUAAUGAAGACAGUCAUGGGGAAGUCUCUUGUCAUGGUCCAGUCCGGGGGAGUAUAGGGGUCCCCUGAAGAUGUGUGUGUCCAGCCAGUGAAGGCGCUUAGCUCCAGCAGAGAGGGCCAGCUGAACAGGAAGCCGAGGCCAGGGAGCCAUGAGGCCCCAGGGAAGUCCUGGGUCAGGUGGAGAGGCCUGCAGGCCCACAGGUGACCCAGACCUUCACCGUCUUCACUCGCUUAGACCAUGAGCUGACUGCAGUGCCUUUGCAGUGGGCCAGGAGGGAGAGCGGGCCGUGGACUCCGAGGGCAUGGGUGGCUCCCCUGUUGCCCUUGGGCUCUGCAGAGGCUGAGGAAGCUGGAUUCACAGCCCUGACGGGAGGACCCUGUCCGUGAGCGAUUCAAACUCUGUGGUGACUGUCCUGACUGAUGAACAGCCAUGCGAUCUUAAACUUGGUCCAGUUCCAAUCUGAGCCAGUUGCUCUAUUCACCAAUUGAACAUAUUAGUAUAAACCCUGUGGGGUGGAUGGAUAAAGAUGUUUGCUGCUUUCCUCUGGGACCUGAAGCCCAGCUUCCCCUCCUAGGCUCCCCAAUUCAGUCCCUUUUAUGAUCUCUGCUGAAUUAGAGGCAAAGACUUAGCAUUUCGGGGUUUUUCUAUAAGUGCUUUAGGCCUGGAUCUGGCGUUGCUGUGUCUGGGGUAUAGGUCAGCAGCUAUAGCUCAGAUUCAGUUCCUAGCCGGGGAAUUUCCAUAUGCCACACCUGCGGCCCUAAAUAAGACUAAAAAAAAGUAAUUGCCUGGAGUUCCCUUGUGGUGUAGUGGGUUAAGGAUCUGACACUGUCACUGCAGCGGCUUGGGUUGCCGCUGUGGUAUGGGUUCUGUCCCUGGCCUGGGAAUUUACACAUGCCAUGGGCACAGCCAAAUCAGAAGAGAAAGUAAUUGCCUCAUUGUGUGAGUGAUGCCGGAAAGAUGUUCCUGGAUCCAGGUUCUUGUUCAUGGAGCCGAAGAAUGAACUCCAUGAACACACAGGCAGCAAGCAAGCCAAGUCUUUAUUACAGGAAAGCAAACAGCUCCCAGGACAGCUGGGGAGGGGAGAAGAGCCGCCCCUUCUAUUGUCUUAUAGGGGUUUUUAUCUCUUAAAUAUGGGGGGUACUAUCACGGGGUCCAGAAAGAUGUGGUUUUCUCCCAUUGGCCUUGCCCAGUUACCUGUAUCAGUCCUUGUCCACUUGGGGUCUUGGGGUAGAAAUGUCCCGUAAGUCUCAUGGUUUCUUUGCCCUUUUCUUCCCAUAAACUGAGGCGCAGGGUGUUAGAGAUUAAUGUCCAUCUGGGCGUGGGUACACUCCCUAGAGUAAACAAGGCCUGUGGGAUGUUACUCCCUGGAGCCCUUAAGCUACAAACGUUAAUCAACAGCCACAUCAAAGAAUGCGUCAAAGCCCAUAUGCUCCUACACUGAGGACCUGAGUUAUUAUUCUGCCUCAUGAGGAUACAGAAAAAUCUGCUGGCCAUGCCUGCAGAGAAAGAAACUUGGGCAGAAACGUGAAGCGCUAAAGCAGGUUGUUAAGAACAACCUGGAGCCUGCUGGGAGACGCAUUGGCGAGAAUAAAAGGGCUGUGAUGCUGCAUCAGUGUCUUAAGAUCCUCAGCUCUCUCAGUGGAACGGAAGGAAAUGCAUCAAAUGCUACUCCGUGGACACAGGGCCUUUUAUUAUAACUUUCCGUGUUUUCAAUGACUUAUUCCUCUGGGGAACUGAAGGCACAGCUUGCGUCUGAUAGGUGGACCGCAAGAGUCAUGACUCCAAGGGACCGGGGACCAGAGGAAGCAAUCAUGGAGGAUGCUAUUCAGGACUUCACACCUGAGCCAAGCUGACCGAACCACACUGAGGCUGGGCCUGAUGGAGGGGGGCCUAGCUGGUCUGUGCUGAAAGAGUCUUCAGGAGAAGAAAAUGUCUAAAAAUUACAACUGUGCUGUGUGGUGACUUUGGGGAAAAAAAGUUAGCAAGUUUUGGGGAGGUUCCAAAUGAAGUAGGAACCUUGUUCCGAAUAAAUUGUUUUUCGUUUUGUUUUGUUUUCUUCUUGUUUCUUCCUCAGGCACGUGGAAGUUCCUGGGCCAGGGAUCAAACCCAUGCUGCAGCAGCGAUAAGGCCUUGUCCCUAACCUUCUUUGCCACAGAGGAACCCCAUGAAUAAGUUUUUUAUGAAUUAGGAGAGAUAAUUGAUUUAAAUAUAUGCAUCUUCCUGAUUUUUUGUGGUGAAAUAUCUUUUUUUCGUAUCCUUUUUGGGGACAUAAAAUAAAUGGAGUCUGGAAUUCUGUCUGUGGUACAGUGUGUUAAUCCAGCUUGUCCUGUGGCAUUGCCGGUUCCAUCCCCAGCCAGGUAGUGCGGGUUAAGGAUCCAGCAUUGCUGCAGCUGUGGUGUAGGAUUCAAUCCCUGGGAAUUUCCAUAUGCCCUGGGUUCAGCCCAAAAAGAAAAAAAAAAUGAGGUCACAUAUUGGGCAUAUUUGUGUUUAUUAUUGUGUCAAGUAGCAAGUAUUUUGGUUUAUCCGGCACUUACUUUGCAUCCGGUAUCAGGUGCGUGGGGGAAAGGAGAACAGUAAGGAGGAGGCUGUGGCCCAGUGGGGCUCACAUCAUCCCCUGAAGGUAGAGGUUCCUCAGAUUUCCUGUUUGACUGUGGUCACAGUGGCCAGGCCAGGAGGUGCUCUCUUUGCCUGUGAAAGGCUUUUGCAGAGAACAGCAGCAUAAGGCGCCCACCCUCUGGAAUGUUUCCCCAAGAACCUUCUCUCAGGUUCUUGAGGUUAAUCAGCCUGCACCUCUCUGAGCUGGGG